GCAUCUUUAAGCUGAGAGAGGGAAGUGGGGCACCACGAUGGAAGCCACCUUAAUAACCAGGAGCUGCAACACACAUGGCGAUUGAGAGAAACAUGGAAAAUGGCUCGAAUGAACUCCCAGGCUGUUUAAACAGCUCUAUAAAUUGAAGGCCUCCAUGCUGGACAGCGCCGAAGGUCCCAACAAGAACAACUUUACAAUCAAGUCUACAUCAAAGGAAAAGCACCGCGGGAGGAGACUCGUGCCUGUCGGCGUCCACAAGGUGGCGUGCUUGCGUUUCUUUGUAUGUAUACUUUGCCCUCACACAUUGGCUACUUUGUCCUUCACUUCUUGAAACACGUAUUUUGCUUUCAAACCACCCACUUCUGGUGGCACUUAGGCUAUGGGAUGACUGAG